UUAAAGAAAGCGUAAUAGCUCACUGGUCGAGUCGGCCUGCGCGGAAGAUGUAACGGGGCUAAACCAUGCACCGAAGCUGCGGCAGCGAACGUAUCACCCAAGACAACUUUACGGAGUUGACGAUUGACGGAGCGAAGCGACGUCAAAGCGUAUACAAAGUCGAGUUGGCUUAGGGAUACGUUCGUUGGGUAGGGGAGCGUUCUGUAAGCCUGUGAAGGUGGCCUGUGAGGGUUGCUGGAGGUAUCAGAAGUGCGAAUGCUGACAUAAGUAACGAUAAAGCGGGUGAAAAGCCCGCUCGCCGGAAGACCAAGGGUUCCUGUCCAACGUUAAUCGGGGCAGGGUGAGUCGACCCCUAAGGCGAGGCCGAAAGGCGUAGUCGAUGGGAAACGGGUUAAUAUUCCCGUACUUGGUGUUACUGCGAAGGGGGGACGGAGAAGGCUAUGUUGGCCGGGCGACGGUUGUCCCGGUUUAAGCGUGUAGGUGUGUGUUCCAGGUAAAUCCGGUUCACUUUAACACUGAGGCGUGACGACGAGGCACUACGGUGCUGAAGCAACAAAUGCCCUGCUUCCAGGAAAAGCCUCUAAGCAUCAGGUAACAUCAAAUCGUACCCCAAACCGACACAGGUGGUCAGGUAGAGAAUACCAAGGCGCUUGAGAGAACUCGGGUGAAGGAACUAGGCAAAAUGGUGCCGUAACUUCGGGAGAAGGCACGCUGACACGUAGGUGAAGUGAUUUACUCAUGGAGCUGAAGUCAGUCGAAGAUACCAGCUGGCUGCAACUGUUUAUUAAAAACACAGCACUGUGCAAACACGAAAGUGGACGUAUACGGUGUGACGCCUGCCCGGUGCCGGAAGGUUAAUUGAUGGGGUCAGCGCAAGCGAAGCUCCUGAUCGAAGCCCCGGUAAACGGCGGCCGUAACUAUAACGGUCCUAAGGUAGCGAAAUUCCUUGUCGGGUAAGUUCCGACCUGCACGAAUGGCGUAAUGAUGGCCAGGCUGUCUCCACCCGAGACUCAGUGAAAUUGAACUCGCUGUGAAGAUGCAGUGUACCCGCGGCAAGACGGAAAGACCCCGUGAACCUUUACUAUAGCUUGACACUGAACAUUGAGCCUUGAUGUGUAG
rnacentral:rRNA from 1 species